AUCUGAAAAGAUGGCGUCAAACGCAAUCAUUAGAAGAUUAAGGAAUCUCUCUUAUUUUAGUCCUGUCAUGCCAGUUCCGUCGUUUUGUCGCUUCAGGCAUGGUACAUUGGGUUCAGAUGUUAGCCGGAGCAAUAACCAGCAACUUUUUCAUCCAAAGAAAAGUAGGACUGUUCGUCAGAUGAGUCAAGCUGAAAAUGAACCUCGUUUUGAAAAAGAGCUCCAGCAAGCCUGCCCUGAACGCGCCCACUUAGACAUGCUGGCGAAACAAGAUAUGGAAGACAAGAUUAUGACACAAGACUCCAAGGACACAUAUAUCUCUCACUUCCCUCGAAUCCUCAGGAAACCAACAGGAUACUUCAUCAACUCCAAAAUGCGUAGAGAUAAUAUCACUGUGUCACCAAACAAACGAGUGCCAAAUGGUUCAGUUAGAAGUAUGACAGAAAGCUUCAAGGCUACUGAAUAUUUAGUUUGCAUGGAUAAAAGCAGUCAAGGACGUUAUGGCAAUGGGAAUUGAAAUCCAGUCUUGCUCAAUUGUUUUGGGAAUUGGUUACUAGAUUUGUAACUGAGAUGAAAGGUUCUACCAAAAUCAUACCAGUUAGCAUCAAGGUCUUUGCUGAUAAAAAUUGGACCAGUAAUUCCUGUCCAAUUUCUUUAGGAAAACAUUUCAUUGGUUAGGUGACAUGGAAUUAUGAGGAAUCUCUAUGUAAUGGUGAAGAUGAUUUCAUAACUAUUGUGGGGGUUUAGGGAAAGACCGAAUAAUAGAUCCUUGUGCACUUCGAUUAGCAAGGUCCGACUACAAAACAAAGGUUCAAAGCUACUACAUAUUUAAGUAGCACAAGGAACAGAGUCUAGGUCGAUAUUGCAAGGGGAAUUUCAAAUAGGUCUGCAGUCUUGAUCAUUCUUUUAUUCCAAUUGGUUAAGGUUUGAAACUGAGAUCAACUGUCCUAUUAAAAUUGCUCAAAUAAAGCAGCAAGGGUGUCAAGAUUAAGAUGGCAUAAACAAAGGAUCAAUUGGUUAUGUGAGUUUGUGACAAGAUAGGAAAUUACUGUGAAGUCUCUCCAGAAAUUUUUCACUGCAAUUGGUUAUGGGACUUGGAACUUUUAUAACGUACUACCUACUGGAAGGAUGAUUGGAUAGCUGGUGAUUUAUGGAAAGAUGAUUGGAUAGCUGGUGAUUUAUGGAAAGAUGAUUGGAUAGCUGGUCAUUUAUGGAAAUAUGAAAGAAUAAAGUCAUGUGCUCUUUGCGGAAAAGGCCAGUUAAACAGUCCUGACUAUCAAAUUUUGGUCAUAAUUGUUCAUGAGACUGUAAUUGAGAAGUGCCUCUUCUUAAUUAACAAUGCUAUUGCUUGAAAAAAAUGUCAAAAAGGCUGAGAAGUCCUAUUUAUGACAUACAGCAAGAUAUGUGUGUUGGGACUGCCCAAAGCUUAAGCUGCAGUUCAGUAAGAUCUCUUCAGGUGAAGAAGUUGAGCAUCAUAAUAGAAAAUUUAUGUAUGAAGAUUUUGUCCCACCACCUUCAGUUGACUGGAGAAAGCUUGGGGUCGUAACUCCUGUUCAACAGCAGAUAAUUGAUGGGCCAUGCUGGGCCUUCUCAUCCAUUGGUUCUGUAGAAGGCAUUAAUGCAAUAGUGACUGGGCAGCUGAUUAAAUUAUCAGAACAACAAUUAAUUGACUGCAUUAAUAUAACCCAUGGAGCGUUUGAAGAAGGUGGCUUGCCUGCAAACGCCUUUUGGUAUAUAAAGCAAAAUAGGGGAGUUGUGCCUGCCGAGUCUUACCCAUACGUUGCAAGGAAGUGCACUUGCAAAAUCUUUGAGGAUUAUAUGGUUACAAUUGAUGGUUAUCAAUUUGUUCCUCAAGAUGAAAAUUCACUGGAGAAAGCGGUUGCGAAUCAACCCGUCGUAGUUGAUGUCGCCAGUGGUGGCGCUCACGGAUGGAUGAGGAACUAUAAAGGAGGCAUUGCAGAUUGUCAUCAUGAGACUCCCUACAGCAAGUUGGAUCACUCGAUGCUUGCAGUAGCAUAUGGCACUGAAAAAAGUGGUAGGAAAUAUUGGGUCUGCAAAAAUAGCCUUGGCCCAACGUGGGGUAAGAAGGGCUAUUGCCACAUUGCACGGGGCGUGGGCUACAAGGGAGGAGCUUUCGGCAUCGCAAAGGCUGCUUGUUUCCCCGUUAAAACCUCUACCAACAGACGUGGUUCUAUAAAGGAUGAAGCAAUGCUUAUUGACCAAGAUUCGGACAAGUAGUGGUGUCUAUUUCAAGAUUCAGUCACUGGUUUUAAGGACCAUCAGGAAAUGGCGCUUAAUCUUCAAGGAGCAUAUGCUGGUUCAGAUAUACCAAUUCUACCUGCAUCUUCAACACCUGCUGGGAAGACCAGCACAACUGGAGUGGGGUAACAGUCUAACAGAGUGUGCUGCUGCUGGAGAAGCCCAUCCACACUUGUACAGGCAUGGUGACAGGCAUCUUGAGCCCAACUUCUCUCUGACGCCGCAGCCGCUGGCUUAAAAGCUUGUAUACUGUUGUUUUCCUCCAGUUGUCUGUUCAAGCAGCUCCUGUUCCCUAGCUGUCACAAAUUUCUUAAAAAGGUUGGCAGACCUUGCGGCAUGUAGCUUAGGUUAUAUGAGUAGUUUGAUCUAGCUAGUGGGCUCUGCCCAGGAGUUUAUCUUUAGGUUGAGUAGUCCCGUUGGUUUUUGCGGGCUUCAUUUUAUAUGGAGCCGGGGAGUGAUCUCUCCCUGUUGAUCUACAAAAGAGGCUGAAGAAUGUUUCAGUUGUAUAGAAUUUGUGGUGCCACUGUCACAUGACACAUUUCCUCUU